CAAUAGCGUAUAUUAAAGUUGUUGCAGUUAAAAAGCUCGUAGUUGGAUUUCUGGUGGGAGCGAUCGGUCUGGCGCUUAGCGCAAGUACUUGCAUCGUCUCCGGCCAUCCUUGGGGAGAGUCUGUCUGGCAUUAGGUUGUCGGGCAGAGGAUCCUCAUCGUUUACUGUGAAAAAAUUAGAGUGUUCAAAGCAGGCUUAUGCCGUUGAAUAUAUUAGCAUGGAAUAACAAGAUAGGACUUUGGUACUAUUUUGUUGGUUUGCGCACCAAAGUAAUGAUUAAUAGGGACAGUUGGGGGUAUUCGUAUUCCGUUGUCAGAGGUGAAAUUCUUGGAUUUACGGAAGACGAACUACUGCGAAAGCAUUUACCAAGGAUGUUUNCAUUA
rnacentral:rRNA from 1 species